ensembl:snRNA U6 U6 spliceosomal RNA
GUGUUUGCUUUAGCAGCACAUAUACUAAAAUUGGAACAAUACAGAGGAGAUUAGCAUGGCCCCUGUGCAAUCAUGACAUGCAAAUUCAUGAAGCAUUCCAUAUUUUU